AACGCGAAGAACCUUACCAGGUCUUGACAUCGAUCUAAAGGCCCUGGAGACAGGGAGAUAGUCAUAGAGAAGACAGGUGGUGCAUGGUUGUCGUCAGCUCGUGUCGUGAGAUGUUGGGUUAAGUCCCGCAACGAGCGCAACCCUUAUUGUUAGUUGCCAUCAUUAAGUUGGGCACUCUAGCGAGACUGCCGUUGACAAAACGGAGGAAGGCGGGGACGACGUCAAAUCAUCAUGCCCCUUAUGUCCUGGGCUACACACGUAAUACAAUGGUGGUAAACAGAGGGAAGCAAAGCCGCGAGGCGGAGCAAAUCCCUAAAAGCCAUCUCAGUUCGGAUUGCAGGCUGCAACUCGCCUGCAUGAAGCUGGAAUUGCUAGUAAUCGCGGAUCAGCAUGCCGCGGUGAAUACGUUCCCGGGUCUUGUACACACGC
rnacentral:rRNA from 1 species